GACGAACGCUGGCGGCGUGCUUAACACAUGCAAGUCGAACGGAAAGGCCCUGCUUUUGUGGGGUGCUCGAGUGGCGAACGGGUGAGUAACACGUGAGUAACCUGCCCUUGACUUUGGGAUAACUUCAGGAAACUGGGGCUAAUACCGGAUAGGAGCUCCUGCUGCAUGGUGGGGGUUGGAAAGUUUCGGCCGUUGGGGAUGGACUCGCGGCUUAUCAGCUUGUUGGUGGGGUAGUGGCUUACCAAGGCUUUGACGGGUAGCCGGCCUGAGAGGGUGACCGGCCACAUGGGGACUGAGAUACGGCCCAGACUCCUACGGGAGGCAGCAGUGGGGAAUAUUGCACAAUGGGCGGAAGCCUGAUGCAGCAACGCCGCGUGCGGGAUGACGGCCUUCGGGUUGUAAACCGCUUUCGCCUGUGACGAAGCGUGAGUGACGGUAAUGGGUAAAGAAGCACCGGCUAACUACGU
rnacentral:rRNA from 1 species